UUGGAUAAAAUCAAUGUAGGAUCUACACUUUGGAAAUGUAACCCACAUAAAGUGGUGGGACAUACAUUGAUUUCACACAA
rfam:Medicago truncatula strain A17 chromosome 7, whole genome shotgun sequence.